UAUGGAAGUGACUGUGAGAGUGGA
rnacentral:piRNA from 1 species